AGGUGAGGCAGGUGGCGCAGUCUUGCUGGGUUUAUUUAUUUGUUUUUAAUUGUUGUUUCCCCAGGGCAGGUUUUGUUUUUUUCCCCUUUCUUCCGGCCGUAGGGCAUGGUGACCCGGUUACACAUACAUGCACACGUUCUAUUUUCGCACAUUAUCAUGCUCCAUCAUAAGUGACUGGACAUAGCUCCCCAGGGCUACACAGCAGGCUCUCACUGCCCAUCCAUUCCAAAGGCAAGAGUUUGUAUCUAUUAACCCCAAGCUCCCCAGCCGCCCCAGUCCCUCCCCCUCCCCCUCCCCUCUCCCCCUUGGCAACCACAAGUCUCUUCUCCAAGUCCAUGAUUUUCUUUUCUGUGGAAAGGUUCAUCUGUGCCUCAUGUUAGACGCCAGAUACAUUCUUGCUGGUUUUGGUGUGGAGGGCCGGAGUGUUUGCAGUUUUGUCCUUGGAGUUAGGGUAGCAGGUUUGCUGAUGGAAAGUGACUUACAGGUAAAGUCACGGGGCCAGGUACUGUAGUCCCAGGAACAAGCCGUGUUACCAUUAGUCGAUGGAGGUUUGUGUGCAAGGGACUAGGGGGGUGUGUAUGGGAAACGGCUGGUAGGAUUCUGAGUGUGUCAAAAUCCUGAGCCUUCCUCUGACCCUCCUCCCAGAUGACCCCGAGUACCCGAGCGGAAGGUGUCCGGCAUCAGUGCUCAGAAAGUUGUUCCACCUUCCACCAAGAUGCUGGAUGAGGAGGACACUGACAAAGACGGGAUGAGUUUGGAGGUCGACACUCCAGUGACGAACCAUCGGGGUGACGACGACGAUGACGAAGAAGAUCUCCCCGAGAUAGUGCUGGAUGACGUGCCUGCGGUGAGGGUGGCGGGACGGCCUCCAUUCGCUCCGCGGGUAAGUUGGGUUUUUAGUCUGAGCUCGCAGUGUUGCUCUAUUUCCCCUCCGUGGACAUUAAGUUAUGACAGCCUGAGCCUGCACGUUCCAGACCAUGUGGACGGUUCCGAGGGUUGGGACUCCAUGUCAGGCGCGUCUGUUGCCAACUCCCGAUGCCUGCUUCCGCAGGGCAAUGCGAUAACAACACCUGUCCCAGCCUGCAGAGGACAGAGCUCCUUCUCCAGAAGCAUCUUUUCCUCGAGGGAAAGAGUUCUGUCAUCUCCAACUGACAUGGCCUUGGACAUCCCGUCGUCUAGGACAAGUUCUUGCCUUUGUCCCCGAGGAGGGUUUGCUCUGCCUUUGCUGGGUUCUCUGGACUCCACCGCUGUUGUGCAUCGGGGUUUCUGCUGUCACCAAGUGAAGGAAAGACCUGUGCAAAUAGGUGGCCUUGUGGUCUGA
rnacentral:lncRNA from 9 species